GUUGGGACAUUUGGCCUGCCCCAUUGCCAGGCCUUUGCCGGGCUUUUGGUUGCAGGCUGAGGACAACCCAGGAUGUCUUGGAUUAACUCAUGGUCCCGCAUUGCCACAUGAGAUCAGUUGUUCUUGCUCAGACUUCUGCAUAGGCUUGGUGGACUGGAGCAGAGAGAUCAUCUCUUCCCCCUCCCUUGGAAAACCCCUGACCACUUCCCCAAAGUCAGAGGAAGUCAGAAAGAGAAGGUCCGGGGGUCAGCAUGAAGAGUUCAGUGUGAGUGAACAUUGUAGGGGCUGCUGGCCAUGGAAGGGCACUGUCUCUCUGCUUUGACAAUGGUCCCCUUGAACAAGUUCCUUUAGCUCUGGAGGAGACUGCAAGCAUCGGGAUGCCCAGGCCCCAAGGAGGCCCUCUUCCUGCAGAUCCGAGAAGGACUGGACACCUUUCUGGGACUGCAGCACCAGGGUGGCUACGCCUCCCGGCUGGAUCAGGAUUCCUGUCAUCCAUCUGCUGGCCCUUUGGACCACUCGGCCACUGGCAUGCUUUCCAAGUCUGUACCCGUGAGUGGCAUCAACUGUCUCUUG
rnacentral:lncRNA from 1 species